AAGUUCCAACGUUGCCCACGCUCUCUGUGGGCUCCACCAUUAACGCUGGCGCGAUCGUCGCGAACCUGUCUGGGCCACGACAGGCUUCCAUUACGCAACGCAGCGCGGUCGGCCAUGGCGGAGGCCGAUCAGAUCACCCCAUCUAGGGUUUACUCCCUACUGCCCCUGUCACAGUACGAAAACAUACUUGCAUGGUGCACUAGAGGCUUCACGAAGCCUUCAAAGAUGGCUGUGAAAUUCAAGCUUUCAUUCGCCCACAAAUGAUGGCUGCUUUACUUGCAUUGUGGAAUCUUGGUGGGCUCUAGUUUAACAGGUGAUUACAAAGAGCAAGAUCGUAUUAUGCAAAAACAAUUAGUGAAUCCAUGCCUUCAUCACAAAAGAGAUGAAGAUUUAACAAAGGAUUAACGGCUCAUCACUUACUUGAAAUUCAAGGCUUCUGAAGUUCUCAAAACGCAUCGCAUUCCGUCAACCUGAGCUUUUAGAGACAUAGCAUAGUCCAAAGUUUCAUCUAAUAAGGAGAAGCCAUCCAUAGACUCACCUCCAGGUGAAUGUGGUCAAUGCUACUACAGCUCAGGGUGAUGUAAUAAUGACAGAGAAUUGCCAAUGAAUGUUCAGUUAGACUGCAAGGACAAGUUCAGAUCAGUGGCAGAGGAUUAGCAGUUAUAUUUAGUAAAACACUGUAGCAUUUCUCUUCAAAGCUCAUAUCAAACAAUCUAAGUUAAUAUGAUCUUCUGCAGCAGUGCUGGUACAGAGAAUGAUGUAGCUGAACCAUUUGUGUCCAUUAUUGCGGUCUGAUACAAUACAAUAAUGCCAGUAGACUCACAUGUGAGUUCAUGAUUCCAGAUGUCAUAAAUUUGUCAUCUCUGUCACUCUCUUGCUCCCAUGCAUCUCAUGUUGAAUUAGGGUUCUGUUAUUUCUACUGGUCUUUUUGUUGUGAUAUUUGGGCAAAAUCAUGAGUUGAGGUUUCUGUAAUAUACAGCUUCAUCUUCUCCAUAUCCAGGGAGUAAACCGAUGGUUAGGGCUCACUUAAUCAGUGAGCGAAGCUUUACAGGGGAUUUAGGUUUCACUAUUUAGAAAACAUUGGGUACUGUUAUAUAAGAAUGUUCAGAAAGAAGUUUGGUGAACGGACCAUCACGCUUCUGUUGAGAUAGUGUUUGUUUCUUUGAGACACCGAAUCCAUCAUCCAUUUUGAUUGACUAAUCAAUUAGAUCGAACUUCACAUGGAUGUGACAUGGAAGAGUUGUUCAAUUUAUGACAAGUUUGUUUGGUGGUGUUUCCAUAGGAUAAUAAAUGUGGUAUUCAUACUGAUUGAUCCUCCAUUACAUAGUUAUCAUAGAGAGGUGACACAAAUCAACUGAUCACAAUGUCUUUCAAGAAACUACAUCUCUUAGUUCAUGUCACAUGGCUUCUCAAUGACAUUAAGCACCAGAAUGAUAUGUGAUAGAGGAAUUCAAUUCUAGCAGCUACUUGAUUUGUCAGAGAUACUCAUACCAAGGGAAUUGUUCUUUUGUAUCUUCAAGGGGGAUACACCAGUUGGUUCCACAACUUGGAUGCUGCAGGAUCAGGAAAACAUGGUGAUGAAUGUGGUGCACUCUUUUCUGCCUCUCUCAGAUGGCUUUGGCAAAAGGAAGAUAUUUCCCACAUGGUAUCCACAUGGGAGCUUCUACUCUUUGGGUCUCCACAUGAUUCCUUCGCUCAUCAUGUUCCCAAGUACAGCUUUUUCACUAUUCAGCUUUAAAAUUUGUGGCUUUCAAUGUUAUUAGUCAUGCUUCUUCUUCGCAUAAUCCUGGUGUCAUGUUACAUAUCAGCUAGAGAACAUCAGUUUCUUACCGAAUUAAUUACAAGGAAAGACGACAAGUCUUCUCUAUUUAAUGUAAAUAUUAUGAUCAGUCUGGCCAAGUGCACACUAAUUAGCUUAGUUGACAAAUUACUCUCUUCCUCAAAGAUAGGGUUGUAAUCGAACUGAGCCGAACUUUGGAGUAUUCAAGUUUGUUUGAUAAGGUAA